UACGUAGGGCGCAAGCGUUGUCCGGAAUUAUUGGGCGUAAAGAGCUCGUAGGCGGCUUGUCACGUCGGGUGUGAAAGCCCGGGGCUUAACCCCGGGUCUGCAUUCGAUACGGGCUAGCUAGAGUGUGGUAGGGGAGAUCGGAAUUCCUGGUGUAGCGGUGAAAUGCGCAGAUAUCAGGAGGAACACCGGUGGCGAAGGCGGCCCACUGGUCCGGUACUGACGCUGAGGUGCGAAAGCGUGGGGAGCAAACAGG
rnacentral:rRNA from 1 species